CAUCUUUUUUGGGAACAAAUUAUUUUAAUUUGAUAUAUUCUGGCACUGUUGUUGUGUAUUUUAAUCCUAUAUUUGUGAUGUUGGCCGAGAAAGAGCACUGAAAAUGUAGCCCGCUACAUUAGCAUCUCGAACUAUCUAUCUAGCUAGCUAGUUAGUUAGUUAGUUAGCUAGUUAGUUCUUGUCAGGUGACACAAUUAAAAAGCCCCCUCUGCUGGUGCAUGACAGGAAAAUGGCACGGCAGAAUUUCAAUGCACUGUGUUUGUUUAUGGACCUGCAGCUCAUGUUUACGGUUCUAAAACAGACCAACCCUGAAGUGACACCGGAAUCAAAACACCGCCAUGUCCUGAUGGAUGUACUGCAGGCGUGACGCUGGCGCCUUCCAGAACAAUCUUGAAGAAGGAAAAGAUGUCACCAGUGAUUGGAUUACGUGUGGACAUGACACCACGUUGACCUGCUCUAACUUGAUGGUGACGCUGGAGAUCUCUUACGUCACGACACAGCCCACUGCCACGGUGACGUCGUCGUCCACACAGUUGUAUCCUUGCGUCGCCACAUGGAAGAUGUUGCACUCCACUGCUCCUUCUGCUGCACACAGCCAGGCUCGUUACCUCAGGGAGUCCAGGCUCAUUUGUCUUAUUUCUUUGUUUGUCUCUGUCCCUCCUCUUCUUCUUUAUUUUGCCCAACCAAUU